rnacentral:rRNA from 1 species
CGAGGGGACCUCAGAGUCUUUUGACGCACGUUGCGCCCGAUGCCAUUAGGUUGAGGGCACGUCUGCCUGGGUGUCACAUAUCGAAGCCUCCUUGCCAAUUUCCCUGAUUAUUGUGCAGGGUGGAUGUUGGCCUCCCGUGAGCUCUUUCGUCUCAUGGUUGGUUGAAAAUUGAGACCUUGGUAGGGUGUGCCAUGAUAGAUGGUGGUUGUGUGACCCACGAGACCAAUCAUGCGCUGCUCUAUUGAAUUUGGCCUCCUUUACCCAUAUGCGUUUCCAAACGCUCGUGAUGAGACCUCAGGUCAGGCGGGGCUACCCGCUGAAUUUAAGCAUAUCAAUAAGCGGAGGAAAAGAAACUAACAAGGAUUCCCUUAGUAACGGCGAGCGAACCGGGAUAAGCCCACCAUGAGAAUCGGUCGCCCUCGGCGUUCGAAUUGUAGUUGAAAAAAAACCGUCAAAAAUUAAAU